rnacentral:rRNA from 1 species
GCUUACACAUGCAAGUCGAACGAAGAGAGAUGGAAGCUUGCUUCUAUGAGAUCUUAGUGGCGAACGGGUGAGUAACGCGUAAUCAACCUGCCCUUCAGAGGGGGACAACAGUUGGAAACGACUGCUAAUACCGCAUACGAUCCAAUCUCGGCAUCGAGAAUGGAUGAAAGGUGGCCUCUAUUUAUAAGCUAUCACUGAAGGAGGGGAUUGCGUCUGAUUAGCUAGUUGGAGGGGUAACGGCCCACCAAGGCGAUGAUCAGUAGCCGGUCUGAGAGGAUGAACGGCCACAUUGGGACUGAGACACGGCCCAGACUCCUACGGGAGGCAGCAGUGGGGAAUCUUCCGCAAUGGACGAAAGUCUGACGGAGCAACGCCGCGUGAGUGAUGACGGCCUUCGGGUUGUAAAGCUCUGUUAAUCGGGACGAAUGGUUCUUGUGCAAAUAGUGCGAGGAUUUGACGGUACCGGAAUAGAAAGCCACGGCUAACUACGUGCCAGCAGCCGCGGUAAUACGUAGGUGGCAAGCGUUGUCCGGAAUUAUUGGGCGUAAAAGCGCGCGCAGGCGGAUUGGUCAGUCUGUCUUAAAAGUUUCGGGGCUUAACCCCGUGAUGGGAUGGAAAACUGCCAAUCUUAGAGUAUCGGAGAGGAAAGUGGAAUUCCUAGUGUAGCGGGUGAAAUGCGUAGAUUUUAGGAA